rnacentral:tRNA from 1 species
CGGCGCGUAGCUCAGUUGGUUAGAGCACUGCCCUGAUAAGGCAGGGGUCGGAGGUUCAAGUCCUCCUGCGCCGACCA